rnacentral:rRNA from 1 species
UACAGAGGGGGCAAGCGUUGUUCGGAAUUACUGGGCGUAAAGGGCGCGUAGGCGGCCGCCUAAGUCAGACGUGAAAUCCCCGGGCUCAACCUGGGAAUUGCAUUCGAUACUGGAUGGCUAGAGUUCGGCAGAGGGAAGCGGAAUUUCCGGUGUAGCGGUGAAAUGCGUAGAUAUCGGAAGGAACAUCAGUGGCGAAAGCGGCUUCCUGGACCAGAACUGACGAUCAGGCACGAAAGCGUGGGGAGCAAACAGG